rnacentral:rRNA from 1 species
AUACGGAGGGGGCGAGCGUUGUUCGGAAGUAUUGGGCGUAAAGAGCAUGUAGGCGGGCUGUUAAGUCUGGUGUGAAAGCCCGGGGCUCAACCCCGGAAGUGCAUUGGAUACUGGCAGACUUGAGUAUGGGAGAGGAAAGCGGAAUUCCGAGUGUAGGAGUGAAAUCCGUAGAUAUUCGGAGGAACACCAGUGGCGAAGGCGGCUUUCUGGACCAAUACUGACGCUGAGAUGCGAAAGCGUGGGGAGCAGACAGGAUUAGAGACCCCAGUAGUCC